GUGCCAGCCGCCGCGGUAAUACGUAGGUGGCAAGCGUUGUCCGGAUUUAUUGGGCGUAAAGCGAGCGCAGGCGGUUUCUUAAGUCUGAUGUGAAAGCCUUCGGCUCAACCGAAGAAGUGCAUCGGAAACUGGGAAACUUGAGUGCAGAAGAGGACAGUGGAACUCCAUGUGUAGCGGUGAAAUGCGUAGAUAUAUGGAAGAACACCAGUGGCGAAGGAAGCUGUCUGGUCUGUAACUGACGCUGAGUCUCGAAAGCAUGGGUAGCAAACAGGAUUAGAUACCCUGGUAGUCCAUGCCGUAAACGAUGAGUGCUAGGUGUUGGAGGGUUUCCGCCCUUCAGUGCCGCAGCUAACGCAUUAAGCACUCCGCCUGGGGAGUACGACCGCAAGGUUGAAACUCAAAGGAAUUGACGGGGGCCCGCACAAGCGGUGGAGCAUGUGGUUUAAUUCGAAGCAACGCGAAGAACCUUACCAGGUCUUGACAUCCUUUGACCACUCUAGAGAUAGAGCUUUCCCUUCGGGGACAAAGUGACAGGUGGUGCAUGGUUGUCGUCAGCUCGUGUCGUGAGAUGUUGGGUUAAGUCCCGUAACGAGCGCAACCCUUAUUACUAGUUGCCAGCAUUUAGUUGGGCACUCUAGUGAGACUGCCGGUGACAAACCGGAGGGAGGUGGGGACGACGUCAAAUCAUCAUGCCCCUUAUGACCUGGGCUACACACGUGCUACAAUGGAUGGUACAACGAGUUGCAAGACCGCGAGGUUUAGCUAAUCUCUUAAAACCAUUCUCAGUUCGGAUUGUAGGCUGCAACUCGCCUACAUGAAGCCGGAAUCGCUAGUAAUCGCGGAUCAGCAUGCCGCGGUGAAUACGUUCCCGGGCCUUGUACACACCGCCCGU
rnacentral:rRNA from 1 species